UAGCUGUGUUAAGUACAUUGUUGUAUGCCCU
rnacentral:piRNA from 1 species